rnacentral:rRNA from 1 species
CGAACCGGGGGAACUGAAACAUCUAAGUACCCCGAGGAAAAGAAAUCAACCGAGAUUCCCCCAGUAGCGGCGAGCGAACGGGGAACAGCCCAGAGCCUGAAUCAGCUUGUGUGUCAGUGGAACGGUCUGGAAAGGCCGGCGAUACAGGGUGACAGCCCCGUACACGAAGGCACACAGGCUGUGAGCUCGAUGAGUAGGGCGGGACACGUGAUAUCCUGUCUGAAGAUGGGGGGACCAUCCUCCAAGGCUAAAUACUCCUGACUGACCGAUAGUGAACCAGUACCGUGAGGGAAAGGCGAAAAGAACCCCGGCGAGGGGAGUGAAACAGAACCUGAAACCGUGUACGUACAAGCAGUGGGAGCCUUCGUAAGAGGGUGACUGCGUACCUUUUGUAUAAUGGGUCAGCGACUUAUAUUCUGUAGCAAGGUUAACCGUAUAGGGGAGCCGAAGGGAAACCGAGUCUUAAUUGGGCGUUAAGUUGCAGGGUAUAGACCCGAAACCCGGUGAUCUAGCCAUGGGCAGGUUGAAGGUUGGGUAACACUAACUGGAGGACCGAACCGACUAAUGUUGAAAAAUUAGCGGAUGACCUGUGGCUGGGGGUGAAAGGCCAAUCAAACCGGGAGAUAGCUGGUUCUCCCCGAAAGCUAUUUAGGUAGCGCCUCGUGAACUCAUCUCCGGGGGUAGAGCACUGUUUCGGCUAGGGGGCCAUCCCGGCUUACCAACCCGAUGCAAACUGCGAAUACCGGAGAAUGUUAUCACGGGAGACACACGGCGGGUGCUAACGUCCGUCGUGAAGAGGGAAACAACCCAGACCGCCAGCUAAGGUCCCAAAGUCAUGGUUAAGUGGGAAACGAUGUGGGAAGGCCCAGACAGCCAGGAUGUUGGCUUAGAAGCAGCCAUCAUUUAAAGAAAGCGUAAUAGCUCACUGGUCGAGUCGGCCUGCGCGGAAGAUGUAACGGGGCUAAACCAUGCACCGAAGCUGCGGCAGCGACACUAUGUGUUGUUGGGUAGGGGAGCGUUCUGUAAGCCUGUGAAGGUGUGCUGUGAGGCAUGCUGGAGGUAUCAGAAGUGCGAAUGCUGACAUAAGUAACGAUAAAGCGGGUGAAAAGCCCGCUCGCCGGAAGACCAAGGGUUCCUGUCCAACGUUAAUCGGGGCAGGGUGAGUCGACCCCUAAGGCGAGGCCGAAAGGCGUAGUCGAUGGGAAACAGGUUAAUAUUCCUGUACUUGGUGUUACUGCGAAGGGGGGACGGAGAAGGCUAUGUCAGCCGGGCGACGGUCGUCCCGGUUUAAGCGUGUAGGCUGACUUUCCAGGCAAAUCCGGAAAGUUAAGGCUGAGGCGUGAUGACGAGGCACCACGGUGCUGAAGUGACAAAUGCCCUGCUUCCAGGAAAAGCCUCUAAGCAUCAGGUAACAUUAAAUCGUACCCCAAACCGACACAGGUGGUCAGGUAGAGAAUACCAAGGCGCUUGAGAGAACUCGGGUGAAGGAACUAGGCAAAAUGGUGCCGUAACUUCGGGAGAAGGCACGCUGACAUGUAGGUGAAGCCCCUGCGGGUGGAGCUGAAGUCAGUCGAAGAUACCAGCUGGCUGCAACUGUUUAUUAAAAACACAGCACUGUGCAAACACGAAAGUGGACGUAUACGGUGUGACGCCUGCCCGGUGCCGGAAGGUUAAUUGAUGGGGUUAUCGCAAGAGAAGCUCCUGAUCGAAGCCCCGGUAAACGGCGGCCGUAACUAUAACGGUCCUAAGGUAGCGAAAUUCCUUGUCGGGUAAGUUCCGACCUGCACGAAUGGCGUAAUGAUGGCCAGGCUGUCUCCACCCGAGACUCAGUGAAAUUGAACUCGCUGUGAAGAUGCAGUGUACCCGCGGCAAGACGGAAAGACCCCGUGAACCUUUACUACAGCUUGACACUGAACAUUGAGCCUUGAUGUGUAGGAUAGGUGGGAGGCUUUGAAGCGUGGACGCCAGUCUGCGUGGAGCCAACCUUGAAAUACCACCCUUUAAUGUUUGAUGUUCUAACCUGGCGCCGUGAUCCGGCGUGGGGACAGUGUCUGGUGGGUAGUUUGACUGGGGCGGUCUCCUCCCAAAGUGUAACGGAGGAGCACGAAGGUCAGCUAAUCCUGGUCGGACAUCAGGAGGUUAGUGCAAUGGCAUAAGCUGGCUUGACUGCGAGAGUGACGGCUCGAGCAGGUGCGAA